UAGGAAGUAGCUCAGUGGUAGAGCGGCGCUGCAGACAGCGUGAAUUAAAAGACUGAUCGGCGUAGCAGAAGCGUAAUUCGCUGAAAUAGUGUGCUUAUCGUCGGUGGUUCGAAUCCACCCUUCCUGC
rnacentral:tRNA from 1 species